GACGAACGCUGGCGGCGUGCCUAAUACAUGCAAGUCGAGCGGACAGAUGGGAGCUUGCUCCCUGAUGUUAGCGGCGGACGGGUGAGUAACACGUGGGUAACCUGCCUGUAAGACUGGGAUAACUCCGGGAAACCGGGGCUAAUACCGGAUGGUUGUUUGAACCGCAUGGUUCAAACAUAAAAGGUGGCUUCGGCUACCACUUACAGAUGGACCCGCGGCGCAUUAGCUAGUUGGUAAGGUAACGGCUCACCAAGGCAACGAUGCGUAGCCGACCUGAGAGGGUGAUCGGCCACACUGGGACUGAGACACGGCCCAGACUCCUACGGGAGGCAGCAGUAGGGAAUCUUCCGCAAUGGACGAAAGUCUGACGGAGCAACGCCGCGUGAGUGAAGAAGGUUUUCGGAUCGUAAAGCUCUGUUGUUAAGGAAGAACGAGUGUGAGAAUGGAAAGUUCAU
rnacentral:rRNA from 1 species